GCCUCCUUCUAUUCGUGCUCUUGCUCACUGCAGGAAACAUUAAAAACGCCCUUUACGGCAACAUCCACAAACGUAGUAACGCUCACAGUACCGCCCUGCCCCUACCUCCUCCCUUCAGCACUCACAGAGAGGCGCGCCCACGAAGGAAUGGCCCGCCAGAAGUCGCGUAACUUGUGGAAUGACGGGGCGGGCACCAAGUCUGUGAACCGCCCUCAGCAGGUCACCGUUGCCAAGGGAUGGAAGGUGACGCCGGACCUCCUGCCAGUCAAGCCGCUGGCGCCGCGCCGGCGCAAAUACGCACCGAUUCGCCCCAACAACCGCGACGCAGUCGCCAUCCCGCUCGGUGGUCAGAGCUACAACCCCUUGGAUGAGGAGCACCAGGAGGCCCUUGCCAAGGCCGUCCGACAGCUUAACAAGAAGAAACGCAAAGACGAGAAGUUUGUGAAGAUGAUGACAAUGGGCCGCGGCAAGAACUACACGGGCAACUUCUCAGCGGACAGGACAUGGGAAGAGGAGGUGCAAGAGACGGCGCCCGCGACUGCAAAGACGCCAAAAAAGCAGAACACGAAGACGGCGCCCGCCUCCACCGGUGCGUCGUCGUCCGCAGCCUCGUCAGCGCCAAGCCCUGUGACACAGAACGGCAACGGUGCGAAGCAUGAAAAGGUAGCUGCGGCUCCGGCGGCCGUGGCGAAAAAUGGCAAGACAGCCAAAAAGCAAAAGAAGACAAAGAAGGCCACAGCGGAGGAGGCGAAGCGGGCCAUGACACACCGGCGUCACCCAAAGCGUGAUGUUGUAGCGAAAGAAACGGACGAGCUCGAUGUGCUGCUUGCCGCACAUAAGACAACGGCGUGUAAGCGCGAGGCGGCUCGGCAGAAGCGUCGCGCGGCGAAGAAGGCAAACCUAGCCAUUAAACACUACGGCCGGCACUACCACACCCCGCUAGUCCUGGACGUCACGCCAAGUGAUAAGCUCGUAGGCUCCUUGCGUCACCUCAGCGGCGGGUAUGUUCACCCGGCCUUGGAGCGCAUGAAAUCACUCGAGGAGCGCAACCUGGUGCCGGCGCGCAUGCGCCAUACUUACAACAAGCGCAAGGUGCUGAAGCCGAAGGGUGAGGUGCGCGUGAAGCGGGAGGAGUUCGGCGUGAUGCCCGAGACGAGUUUUUAAGCUGCAUGUCGAAGGAACUUGCCCUUUGCCCUCCCAUGUAUGCUUUGCUUGCUCACCUGAAGUGCGUGCACGAUCACGUCGUUUUGCUCUGGUGGUGAACGUUUCUUCGACUAAACUGCCGCUGUGUCGUGUGUUGUGUGUUUUGUAUCUCUUUCUCU
rnacentral:misc_RNA from 1 species